rnacentral:rRNA from 1 species
GAUGAACGCUAGCUACAGGCUUAACACAUGCAAGUCGAGGGGAAACGAUAUUGGAAGCUUGCUUCUGAUAGGCGUCGACCGGCGCACGGGUGAGUAACGCGUAUCCAACCUGCCCAUCACUUGGGGAUAACCUUGUGAAAGUAAGACUAAUACCCAAUGACGUCUCUAGAAGACAUCUGAAAGAGAUUAAAGAUUUAUCGGUGAUGGAUGGGGAUGCGUCUGAUUAGCUUGUUGGCGGGGUAACGGCCCACCAAGGCGACGAUCAGUAGGGGUUCUGAGAGGAAGGUCCCCCACAUUGGAACUGAGACACGGUCCAAACUCCUACGGGAGGCAGCAGUGAGGAAUAUUGGUCAAUGGUCGGCAGACUGAACCAGCCAAGUCGCGUGAGGGAAGACGGCCCCUAACGGGGUUGUAAAACCCUCUUUUUGUCGGAGAGUAAAGUACGCUACGUGUAGUGUAUUGCAAGUAUCCGAAGAAAAAGCAUCGGCUAAACUCCGUGCCAGCAGCCG